CGACGCUGGCGGCGUGCUUAACACAUGCAAGUCGAGCGGUAAGGCCCUUCGGGGUACACGAGCGGCGAACGGGUGAGUAACACGUGGGUGAUCUGCCCUGCACUUCGGGAUAAGCCUGGGAAACUGGGUCUAAUACCGGAUAUGACCUCCGAUCGCAUGGUUGGUGGUGGAAAGAUUUAUCGGUGCAGGAUGGGCCCGCGGCCUAUCAGCUUGUUGGUGGGGUAAUGGCCUACCAAGGCGACGACGGGUAGCCGACCUGAGAGGGUGACCGGCCACACUGGGACUGAGACACGGCCCAGACUCCUACGGGAGGCAGCAGUGGGGAAUAUUGCACAAUGGGCGAAAGCCUGAUGCAGCGACGCCGCGUGAGGGACGACGGCCUUCGGGUUGUAAACCUCUUUCAGCAGGGACGAAGCGCAAGUGACGGUACCUGCAGAAGAAGCACCGGCUAACUACGUGCCAGCAGCCGCGGUAAUACGUAGGGUGCAAGCGUUGUCCGGAAUUACUGGGCGUAAAGAGUUCGUAGGCGGUUUGUCACGUCGUUUGUGAAAACUCACAGCUCAACUGUGAGCCUGCAGGCGAUACGGGCAGACUUGAGUACUGCAGGGGAGACUGGAAUUCCUGGUGUAGCGGUGAAAUGCGCAGAUAUCAGGAGGAACACCGGUGGCGAAGGCGGGUCUCUGGGCAGUAACUGACGCUGAGGAACGAAAGCGUGGGUAGCGAACAGGAUUAGAUACCCUGGUAGUCCACGCCGUAAACGGUGGGCGCUAGGUGUGGGUUCCUUCCACGGAAUCCGUGCCGUAGCUAACGCAUAAGCGCCCCGCCUGG
rnacentral:rRNA from 1 species